AUGGCCUCACACCUAAGUCCUUUCAUUAGGGCAUCGGCCGUGACAAAACCACGACACACAGGGAGGGCCCUUGUUAAAAAGAUAACCCCUAUUACUCGAGAUGAAUUGCCGCACCCGUCGGCAUGCCCCUUCUGUGAUCAACUGCCAAAGACAUUGGAUCAUUUGCUUCUCGGAUGUGUUCUAGCACGACAGGUAUGGGCCAAGAUCAUGAACACUUGGAGUAGGCCGGAGUGGACGCCAUCCGCAGAUUCAAAACUAGUUGAAUGGUGGACAACACUCAACCCCUAGAAGCAAUUUCGAAAGGAGGCGUGGACGGUGAUAACACCAGUGCUAUGGAUGUUGUGGAAGCACCGAAACGACAUUGUUUUCAAUGGAGCGUCGCCAUCGGUGGACGACCUGCUUGUUAAGAUCAAGUUAGAGGCUCAGGACUGGAGAGCGGCUGGACUACUGCGUGAACGUGGCUCAGUCAUUUGUAUGGUAGAUAGGUGGGACGAGAGCGAGUAA
rnacentral:rRNA from 1 species